UACGGAGGAUGCAAGCGUUAUCCGGAAUUAUUGGGCGUAAAGCGUCCGCAGGUGGUUUAUCAAGUCUGCUGUCAAAGCGCGAGGCUUAACUUCGUAAAGGCAGUGGAAACUGAUAGACUGGAGUGCGGUAGGGGCAGAGGGAAUUCCCAGUGUAGCGGUGAAAUGCGUAGAGAUCAUGAGGAAGACCAGUGGCGAAGGCGGGUCUCUGGACAGUUCCUGACACUGAGACACGAAGGCCAGGGGAGCAAACGGG
rnacentral:rRNA from 1 species